rnacentral:lncRNA from 1 species
AGCAGAUGAUGCUUUUGGUUAAGCAAUUCAUGGGUCAGUGACCUGUUAAGUAAUUUGUCUCUGAAUCUUCAGUUACUUCAGUAACAUUUCUGCCUAUUCUGAGAAGGCUAUUUAAACCAGUUAGUUUUUCUCUGAACUAUCAGACUUAAAAUUGCUGUAAAUGAAUGUUGCUUUUUACUCAUAUGAAUGGAACCUGCCUUAAAACCCUCAACUGGUAUCCACCAUGUGAUGUCCUGCUCGCGUGCACAAGACUCCAGACAGUGUCUCUAUAAAUGUGUUUUAUUUU